rnacentral:lncRNA from 1 species
AGGAGAGCAGCGAGCUCCUCUGAGUACACAAAAGACCUUGUAAAGCCUGCCCUUGACCUCAGCUGUCCCUGCUGGCAGAAGAUCAGACUCAUUCUAAAGCAGAUCUAUCGCUUUGGGUUUUCUCCAGGGCCAACAGGGCACGAUUCCAGAUCACGAUUUCGGGACUCAUCCUGGCCAGCAGCAAGCUGCCUGCUGGAGUUAUCCUCAGGAACACUCUGGCCUCCUGAGAAUCACCCAAUCAAAAUGCCCGGGAGCAGGGCCAGCCUCCCUCAGGCCUUUUCUGAUCUUGCUGGGACAUCAGUUUUGAGCCAGCACCUAUUCCACAAUGAGAGGAGUGCCUCCGCCGGGCCAAUGCAUCAAGCAGCGACAUCGACAGAGUCUCAUUCCCUCCGACAGACGUCAAUUUAAAAGGCAAGAGAAGAUUUCCAGGCAGGGGUGAGGGACGUGAAUGGAAUUAGUCAUCAUUACCCUGAAGCGAUGCGGGCUCCCGGGAGCUGUUCCCUCAUCGGGCUUCUCCUGACUAUGCCCUGAGGAUCACCCUCAUCACUCUAAAUAGUCACGACAUGGCCGAUGUAUGGGUUAAAAUGAUGAGCAGGAGAGACAGGCCUAUCCCAAAGUAAAUAGACUGAAUUAGAGGCAUUACAACAGUUAAUAUGUCAGGUCCCUGUUGGGAGGCCAUAGAUCCUGUGUGGUCUAUUUCCCCCGCAUAUUGAAAUUGAUUGUGCCUUGGGCUAUGGUAGGGUUGAUGGGGGAGGGGAGCUGACGAUUCAUCCUUCCAGUCACAUGGAUCAAAGUAAGCAGACAGUGUUAUGUGGAAUUAUUUGCUCUGAAGGUGCGGGAAUAGAAUUUAAUAGAGCAAUGGGGUAUAAUGAAAGAAGCCAUGAGUCUUAGCCAAUGUCUCCCCAGGCCACACCAGCCGAGGAGUGUAAAUAAGAUCGUGCUCUUACCCAAAUCGUAUUUCUCUGGCUCAGCCCUCUCUAAAACUGCAGGAAAGAUACCCUCUUUUUCAACCUCCCCACCUGGCCAACUGUUUCUAGGAGACCUCGGGGGAUGC